rnacentral:lncRNA from 1 species
CAUUAUAUAACAAUUCAUAAUACUGUUUCAACAUUAUCGCAACAAAACAUCUCAACAUUUAGUCAUCAUAAACAACGUAAAUAAUAAUCAACUAUCUAUCGAAUCCCAUAACCCCGGUGUCACAUGACCAGAGCAUUUGACUCGACUCUGUAGAAUAGCUCUACACUUAUUCUUCGAACCUCAACAAUAGCUACUCCUCUUUAUCUGCACAUUGCUCAUCAUAGAUGAACAUAACACAUGCAGAAGGGGUGAGAAUUACUUUAUUAAAUAAUAAUAUAACGACAGAAUUAUAAACAUAAAUAUACUUCACAUAUGCCAACACAGCUCAUCAUCAUCAUCAUAAUAAUCUCAUCCCUGCGUCGGAUGGAAUGAUUGGCUUGUUUUCAGUUCCUUGAACUUGGGAUGAAGUUGACUAAGAACGGCGAACAAUCAGUCAUACGCUUUAAUCCCUAUUUUUGCCUGGAAACGCCUUUUAGGUUUUCAAGUCCACCAGGAUACCUUUUUUGCCCAAGCCCUUUUCAGGUUCGACUUGCGGUGUACAUUUUUAUAUACCUUUUUUCUGCCGAACCUUGGUUCGCCGGAUGCCCUUCCUUUUGCCUAGAUACGUCGAUCUAAGCGGGUCUCUUUUAUGCGUAGUAUUUUUUAACUAUGUCCCGCGUUCACGAAUGGGGAAGUCUCAACCAAAAUCCCAUUGUAGCGAGUAUCAGGCUCACUGAGAAUACUUCUUAACUAAAAUGGCCUUCGAUGUGGGAUUCCAUUUGCCCUCUGGAGUUCAUUUGUGGUAGGAUGAUCGUUUGAUUACCAAGUCGCCCAAUUUGAUACCCUUGUCUCUUGCCCUUUUUGUUGAUGCCCUGGUCAUGCCGUAUGAUCAUAUCUGCCCGGACAUAAGCCCCAAGUCUCCUUCUCAUCAUCAAAUUUAUCUGAUCGAGUCGAUCUGAUCCAUUUCGUCCUCGUCUAAGCCGCCUUUUCAUGAUCCUUAAGAAGAGGGAAUCGACCUCUACUGGUAAAACGGCUUCCAUUCGUAGCUAAAGAGAAAGGAGUUUCCCCUGUCCGAAGUUCGUACGAAGUAGAUAACAUGAGAGCACAAAUGGUAACUCUCAUGCAGUCUUUGGUUAUGUUACGUCUCUUUUGUAUAAUCUUUAAUAUUCUUAUAGGCGUCUCUACGACGCCGUCACCUUGGCGGUACGGAGAAGAGUUAUGAUGUUUUAUUUUAACUCGUGCAGAGUUCAGUAAUCAUCUGUUGUUCACAAUUAGUGCCAUGUCAGUGGAUAAUCUCUCAGGGACGCCGUCGCAGGAUGAAGGCAUGUUCUGUGAACUGCACCAAACUGUCUUAUAACAGAGCAAAUGAAGGCUGCCUACCACCUUGUGAAGUAAUCAAAUAGCACAAGGAAUGAAACCGAUGUCCAUUUAGAGGCGGUAAGGUUAAUUUUCGCCAAUCACAUCAGCCCCAUGCAAAGGGCCCAUGGCGCGUCAACAGUUUAAUGGAGCAGGAGGAUGUAUUUAAUCCGCAUUAGAUCUGGCAACUUAUCAAGUCUGGAGUGAUGGUGGAAUCAGUUUCCAUGGUGACCAUAUACCGACUCAAAUCUUCUUGGCCAUUGUAUGUCACUAGAAAUCGAGUCCCAAACGAUACCGUCGUGCAUGUCCUUUGCAUAUUUCUCUGAUUCCUUUUCUAUCCACACAGCUGAUAGCAAAGUCGAAUCAUGUUACGUUUUACAAUAUUCCAUUUACUCAAAAAGAAUUUAGCGUGAGAACCUUCUCAAAUUCCUGUCAUUUAUGGAUGUCUCAUAGGUACGUGAAGCUUCUUAAAUACUUUUUAUCUGUGGUACCAAGGACUUCUAUCUACUUCAUCAGCGUUAAGUUUAUACAAAUGCUGGUUUCGUUCUAGUGUCAAUGUAAAUUCCGGGGAGCUUCAUGUCCCAUCGACUCUGAACAUAGAUGAACAGGUAGCUAUGCGUCUGCCAAAACUGGUUCUCCUCUCGUGGAUAUAUUCGAAUGUGAUAAUCGUACACCUCACCAAACGACAUAUUUAUAUAUAUUAUCAGAGUACAACAUGUAGAAGAGUUUACAUUUCAUACAACAUAUUAUUCUCGCAUCACAAUACAUCAUUUAUUUAUUUAUUUAAAACUUCGCAGCGGACAACAACAUCAUAAAUAUGUUNGCCAACACAGCUCAUCAUAAUCAUCAUCAUCAUAAUCAAAUACUCAUGAACUCAACAAAACAACACAUCAAUGCAAUGCACACACCCAUGCAUGACUCAACACGACUCGGUAUACCCAUUUUGUGACAACUACAGGAUCAACUCCCAGAUUCAUCACCAUAGAAUCCGAGUUCCCCGCAAGGAACCAAGCCUCUCAACAAGCCCGGAGUCAACAACAUCAUUGGAACUCAGUCCGUUCAUCACUAGGCAUCGGCCUUUCAUGAAUGCAUGCACAUCAAACAUGCAUCAUAAUCAACAUAGCAACAACAACAUCAUAUGGUCAUGUUAUCAUCAUCUUAAUAGCAUGACAUACAACUCAACAAACAACAACAACAUCAUACGAUAUCACAUCUCACAUAACACAUUCAUAACUAACACGUAAAUUCAACAUCUAUCCAUAACACCUCAUACAUAAUCAUAUAAUCACUAUUAAUGUUUAUGAUACAACUACAGCGACUUACUAAGGUCUCGCAACUCAACGUACUCAAAACCCCAACAUUAGCUUCUGCAUUUCUCCAGUUCGCGCCGCCAACAUAGGGACGCGCCGCGAACUCCUCCAAUACAACCAUGUCGCGCCGCGAACGAAGGAUCGCGUCGCGAACAACUAUUUGCUUCAGUACGCGCCGCGAACAAUGAUUACAGAACUCCUCUAAUCCUGCCAGUUCGCGCCGCGAACUGGCUUCGCCGCCGCGAAUCGCGCGCGAACAGAACCCUCUGCUGCAGAAAUCGGCAGCUUUGCUUCUCUACUCGCCAUAACCGUACCCACAGCUAACAACCCAAAAUCGACUUUAACAGUCAUAUAUACACAACAUACUUCGAUUACAGUGCAUUAUACACACAAAACUCACAGAUCGAGAUUUCCAUCAAAACCCCAACUUUCCAAUCUCCUAAAAUCCCAAAAUUCAUCAACAAUCCAACGAUAUCAUGAAUUGCUCGCAUAUUAUCGUUAAUAAGUUCAGACCCCUUACCUCUUUGGAUUGAAGGAAGCUCCGAGCAAUCUUUGGCCUUUUCUCUCCUUCUCUUUCUCUUCAGCGUUUCUCCCCUUUUCUGACUCUGAGCAAACACGUGAAAACCCUCUGUUCCAAAAAUGGAACUCUCUUAUUUCCAACUUAUAUAUUUUCCAAAUUUAUUAUUCAAAAUAAUAAUAAUAAUAAUAAUCAAUAAUCCAAUUUAUUUAUUAAAUUAAUAAAAUAAUAUUAUCAACUUAAUCAAAUAAUUCUUUUACUUUAUUGGGGUGUUACAACUCUCCCCCACUAAAAGAGUUUUCGUCCUCGAAAACAUACCUCAAGCAAAUAGAGUCGGAUACGACUCCUUCAUCUGAUCUUCACGCUCCCAAGUCAAGCUCUCACCAGCUGGACCUCCCCAAACAACUUUCACUAGAGCAAUCUUCUUACCUCUCAGGGUCUUCUCUUCUCGGUCAUCUAUCCGAAUUGGCAACACCUCAACGGUCAAAUUAUCCCUCACCUGGAUAUCAUCCAACUGAACAACAUGCGAAGGAUCGCAAUAUAUUUUCUCAACUGAGAUACAUGAAACACAUCAUGCAGAUUAGAAAGCGACGGCGGUAAAGCUAUCCGAUACGCACUUCCCCACCCUCUUCAAAUCUGAUACGGACCCACAACCUCGGAGUAAGCUUUUUAAGAAUGUGUCAACAUGAUCUCAACAAAACAUCUCAACAAUUAUUCAUCAUAAACAACAUAAAUAAAGAUAAUUUGGCUAUCGAAUCCCAUAAUCCCCGGUGUCACAUGACCAGAGCAUUUGACUCGACUCGGUAGAAUAGCUCUACACUUAUUCUUCGAACCUCAACAAUAUCUACUCCUCUUUAUCUGCACAUUGCUCAUCAUAGAUGAACAUAAACACAUGCAGAAGGGGUGAGAAUUACAUUAUUAAAUAAUAAUAUAACGACAGAAAUAUAAACAUAAUUAUAUAUUUCACACAUGCCAACACAGCUCAUCAUCAUUAUCAUAAUCAACAAACUCAUGAACAUCAACAAAACAACACAUCAAUUACAAUGCAAACACCCAUGCAUGACUCAACACGACUCGGUAUACCCAUUUUGUGACCAACUAUAGGAUCACCACUCCCAGAUUCAUCACCAUAGAAUCCGAGUUCCCCGCAAGGAACCAAGCCUCUCAACAAGCCCGGAGUCCAACAAAUCAGUUGAACUCAGUCCGUUCAUCACCAGGCCAAUCGGCCUUUCAUGAAUGCAUGCACACCAAACAUGCAUCAUAAUCAACAUAGCAACAACAGCAUCAUAUAGUCAUGUUAUCAUCAUCAUUAAUAGCACGACAUACAACUCAACAAAACAACAACAUCAUAACGAUAUCACAUCGUCACAUAACACAUUCAUAACUAACACGUAAAUUCAACAUCUCAUCAUCAUAAACACCUCAUACAUAAUCAUAUAAUCACUAUUAACUGUUUAUGAUACAACUACAGCGACUUACUAAGGGUCUCGCAACUCAACGUACUCAAAACCCACCAGCAUUAGCUUCUGCAUUUCUCCAGUUCGCGCCGCCAACAUAGGGACGCGCCGCGAACUCUCCAAUACAACACAGUUCGCGCCGCGAAGGAAGGAUCGCGUCGCGAACAACGAAUUACAGAACUCCUUCUGAAUCCUGCCCAGUUCGCGCCGCGAACUAGGCUUCGCGCCGCGAAUCGCGCGCGAACAGAACCCUCUGCUGCAGUAUUCGGCGCAGCUUUGCUUCUCUACUCGCCAAAACCCGUACCCCACAGCUAACCAACCCAAAAUUGACAUUUAACAGGCAUAUAUACACAACAUACUUCGAUUACCGUGCAUAUAACGCAACAAAAUUCACAAAUCGGAGGAUUUUCCAUCAAAACCCCAACUUUCCCAAUCUCCCUAAAAUUCCCAAAUUUCAUCAACAUUCCAACAGAUAUCAUGGAAUAGCUCGCAUAUUAUCGUUUAAUAAGAUUCAGACCCCUUACCUCUUUGGAUUGAAGGGAGCUCUGAGCAAUCUUUGGCCUUUUUCUCUUCGUUCUCUUUCUCUUCAGCGUUUUCCCCUUUUUCUACUUUCACGAUGCUUCUGCUCUUUCACGUAAAACUCUCUGUUCCAAAAAAUGAGACUAUUUCUCUUAUUUCCCACUUAUAUAUUUUCCAAAAUAAUAAUAAGUAUAAAUCCAAUAAUCCAAUUUAUUUAAUUAAAUUAAUAAAAUAAUAUUAUCAACUUAAUCAAAUAAUUCUUUUACUUUAUUUGGGGUGUUACAAUUGGGCGCAAGGUUCUGUACAUACUCGCCAUAACCCCAUUGAACCAUAAAUGAUCCAACACCGUCCCCAACUUUGAGUUCCCUGUACUUGAGGCAGAGGAAGAUGAUUCUUGAAGAGAUUCCCUGAUGAGAUUACCCAUCUGCUGAGUACGAGGAAAGAUCAAUUCCAGCCCACAUCUUUGAGAACCUGGAAAUAGAUCCAACUUGGGGUUUGAAGACUGUAUUCGUGAAGUAAAGAUUGGGGCACUUCUGAAGAGUCUGUUAAGAAGGAGUUGAUUGAGUUAACUAACGAGAAUAUGUCUGACGUCUUUGCCUCGGUCGUAAUGAAGACAUGCCUGGCUAGAUCAACUGAUAUCGUGCAACAUUCUUGUCGUUGAAGCCUGAGUGUGCUGUCAAUAAAAGCUCAGAAAGAAACGCGUCUGAUAAAGAGUUAAUAAUUAAAGAAAGAAGUUCAGAAGCAAAAAGAUGCGGGUUUCCGUUAGACGGUGUGGCUAGUGAUCGAGAGGAGGGUGGAAUAGAUCACAUCUUUAAAAUAAACGGAUUAAAAAUUCUGUAUCAGAGUUAAUGCAACUCCCGGGAAAUUACAGUUCGAAUCGACUUCCGUCUGAUUCUGAACCGCUCUAGAAAAGCGGACACGCGAAUUAUUGCUGGAUUGGAAUAAGAACGAUAGAGAUUAUAACACCAGAAUAUUAUCAAAUCAAAAUGCACUUAUCACUAAAUCUAAUUACCAAUGAAUAAAACUUUAGCUGACAGUUUUGUCAAACAUUUGGUGUGUAUAUGAUCAAAUGAUGAACAAUGGUGAGUUUAAAUAAAGAAGUUUUCUUGGCCAACUAAUUGUAUCACGAAAUGUAUAGCCACAUACACCAACCUGAAAUCACAAAACCUGUGAAAACAUAAAGAAGAAUACCGGAAAGAAUACGAUAAUCUCAGAGAUUUGUAAGAAGUUCCCCACUUGUCCGUCCUCCGCGUGUGGGUACAUCUCCCCUCACUUUCAAAAUGAAAUUUGAGAACUGUAAUUAUCAAUAAUGCCGAAUUGUUGAUACCAAGGUUUCAAUGACAAGACAGAAAUCUAAAUCCCAAGAUCUUCUUCUUGUAAAACCUCCACUUGCUCUGAGCUCGAUCAAGAAUUUCCUGGCAAACAUGCAACAAUUCACCGUUCCACAACUGUUUGUGAAAAUUUACCCACAAUUCGCAAACCUACCGCUACGGCUGAAUCGUGUUAUGCAACGGAUCUAACAAACCGCAAAACACUCCAUUUUUUUUUUUUUUUUGAAGUUCUUUAAGACAACCAUUUGGUUUUUCCUCGAAACCCCCUUCAACCUUCAACUUCAGCUAGACUCCUCGAUCGUUCCACUGAACACCUCAGCUAGGAUCCUUGAAUCGUUCCCACUGAACGUUUAUUCUCCGUUGAUCCUUAAAUCCAAAGAACAAGAAGACUAUGUGUUGAUUGUUCUUGACGAAAAGAGAAUUGAGAAGAAUGAAGAAGAUGAAGUCUCUCUUCAGGUUUCUAACUUACUCAAACAAUGCGCUCACAACUACCUUUGAUUUGUGUUACCACGUUUCACUUGUGAAUUUCGUGUUUCGUAAAUGAGCUGUCAAAAUACUUCUUAUAUGUGAAAGCAGAAAAGCUGUUAGUAGACAAACAGAAUUAUGUAUUGAUACGAAAGAUUAUGCAUCGAUACAUACUAUAGCUUUGAUUAAUUUUAGAGAAUAAUACAAGCAUGUAUCGAUACAAAAGCCGUAAAUCGAUGAGCAGUUAGAACAUUUUAAUCUAAGCCAUGUAUCGAUACAAAGCUCGUAAAUUAUCCGAUACAUAGAAACAUUUUAACUAAGCAUUGUAUCAUACAACCCGUACCCCACAGCUACACAACAAACACCAAAAACGACGUUUAACAGUCAUAUAUACACACAUACUUCGAUUACAGUGCAUUUAACGCAACAAAAACUCACAGAUCGGAGAAUUUCCAUCAAAACCCCAACUUUCCCAAUCUCCCUAAAAUCCCCAAAAUUCAUUAACAAUCCAACGAUAUCAUGAAAUUGCUCGCAUUAUCGUUUAAUAAGAUUCAGACCCUUACCUCUUUGGAUUGAAGGAAGCUCCGAGCAAUCUUUGGCCUUUUCCUCUUCCUUCU